rnacentral:lncRNA from 1 species
CGACGGGUCUGCCCUGAAGGUGAAGUCCAGGGUGGGCCCGGGGGUCUCGCUGUGUUGCCCAGCUGCUCUCCAACUCCCAGCCUCAAGCAAUCCUCCUGCUUCAGCACUGAUCUCACUCAGUGGUUCAGUGGGAUUACAGCCGUGAGCCACUGCACCCAGCCAUAAAUUCUUUUAUAUUUAAAGCAGUUUGAGUCGUUUCCGACCCCUACAACAUAAAGAGUCCUGUCUACUAUUCUCCUCAGGAGACAAAAUCUCUUCCCCUCAGCCCCAACAUCAAAUACAAAGCAUUCAGCCUCGUUAGUCAAAACUGAUCACAAUAAUAGCCUUUAUAGGUGUUUCUAGAGAGAUGGGGUGAGAAAAAAUAGGAUAUAAAUAACCAUUAUUUACAACUUGCA